CUUUUAUUUCAGCUCAUGAAACAAGGGACCAACACUUUACAUGUUGAGUUUAUAUUUUUGUUCAGUGUAUAUAAUACCACAUUUUUUUUUGUGAGAAAACCAUCAGAGUUGAAAAUGCAAAUGUAUUUUGCAUUUGGUACAUCACGCACAGCCUUUUAUCUGCAACAAAUCAUUUGAUGGAAAAAUAUCUCUGCAGCAUAUUCUUUUUAUGUGGAUUUUAGAAUAUUUGCAUGAAAAUCUAUUGCUAAUUUGAUCGAAACCUAGCUACAGCUGGUUACAUUUAUUGGAGUUGUCUUGAACGUACCAAUAGUCCACGGAAAUGUGGACCAGUUAGAAAGUUGGACAUUUCCGAGUUUCCUUGUUCCGAUUAUACAUGAACGCAGUAAUAGACCGCAUUUCUUGGAGGUACAGAGCUAUCCCACAAUUCAUUACGGAACAUGUAUUCUAUGGUGCCGAGGAGGACUAUAAAUUUGCAAGUGCCGGAACAGCGGUCUCUUUGCAGACAUGAGUGGAAAAGAGGUUGUGCCACUAUUCAGGUCUUCAGACAUGGGAGGGCUUCAAAUGGGAAUAACAUGAUCCCUUUCAAGCAUGCGGACUGAAAGAAUUGCAUCAACUCUUAAGGAAAGCAUGCUCCAUCAACUCCAUUGAAGGUGAUUCAACUCUAUUCAAUGUGUUUGAAGACUAAGCAUGGAACUGCUGGGACUGGCUUGAUGGUUAAAUGGAAAAGGUAUUGAAGGAAAGAACACAAUUUGGUGGACUGCUUGCAUUUCAGCAAAAAAAUAUCCAGGAAUACAUGCUGAUUGUUUGACAUUCAAUGGAGUUGAAGCAUAGAAGGUUGACCAAACAUGGUGCUGCUUGGACUGGAUUGCUGUUUCAUUGAGUCGAUGCAAGACGAUGCAGAUUGUAUGGAAUGCGACAACUCCAUUGAAGGAUGCCACAGGAUUGUUUCUUUCUGGACUUGGGUGGUGUACAGAAUGUUACAUCCUGCAGAUGAUUCACUAAACUCCAGGCCAGACUGUUUGUCUCAGCCACCAUCAGCUGUGUUCACAUGGCCCUUUGACACAUCCUGGAGUGUCAUUGCAUAAUCCUCUUGUCUUGCAAUGUCUGGUUUCUGAACAAAUGUACCACAUAAUGAAUUGUUGAAUGUUUUGCCUUGACUAUGGUCCCGACUGCAUAAACAUGGGGACCUUCUCAAUCAGUGAACAAUAAAAUUGAACUUUGUAAA
rnacentral:lncRNA from 1 species